UUCUGCAUGGGAACAUCUGUUCAGACUGGUUUGUUUGCUCUUUCCAGUCCCAGCCUGAAGCCUGGGUUUAGAGGCAAACAGAACCUCCUCCAUGAGGGCAGGAUUGGGUUUUCUGUAUUUUCUAUUCAUGUGUGGUCCUCUCAUUUCCCUGCUUCCCCACCUCUAAUAGCUGUAGAGUUGCAUUUCACGGAGAAGUGGAAUUUCCUUAUCUUGUCUUGGAUUUUUCAUCUCCCCUGUGUGGGUGUACUGGCAGGACCAGUGCUCUGGAUCUCCCUGCAUCCCAACAACCAUUGCUGCCCAGUGUUGCAGAUCUACUGCUUUGAGCAUUGGAAAAACAGAAGCCAUUCCUGGAAGAAGAUGGAAGAAUUGAAGCUGACAAAGGUUGCUUUGUCUUGGUUCAUUCAAGUGAAGUCCCAGCACAUGAAUUGCUCCAUUUAGAUCCAUGAAAAACUGACAGCAAAGACCAAGCAAGCAGAGUAAGCCAAGAGCAUUCUGAGUUUGAUGCCUGAAACUGUCUCCUGGUGGCAACUUUAAGGAAGAUUUGAUUCUUGUGGUCACAGGGAAAGACGGUCCAGCCACAGG